rnacentral:lncRNA from 1 species
CCAAAUCGAUGACGAGAAUUGAGAACUCAGAGAUUGUAUAAGUCAAAUAUAGAGAGAGAGAGUGUGUGAGAGAGAGAGAAGAGAGAGAGUACCUCCACGAGAUGGUGCUCGAGAGGUAGAGACGGUGCGCGAGAUGGUGCUCGAGGUGCUAAUCGCCUAUCAAUGGGGAACUUGAGGGACAGGCCUUUGGACAAGGAAGACGAGGGCCGAUGGGAUGAUCUGGGCGAUUAGGUGAGCGAGAGGCAGAGAGGUUGUGCCAGCAGCAGGAAUGGCAGAGAGAGUGAGAGGGGCUUGGCACAGGGAGCGGGAGGCAGGGUGUGCGAGAGGGGCUAUGCACUUAUCAAUGGGCUAAGCAAAAGGCAAAAAACCAAGGAGGAGAG